rnacentral:tRNA from 1 species
GCCCGCGUAGCUCAGUGGAUAGAGCAUUUGCUUGCGGAGCAAAGGGCCGCGCGUUCGAGUCGCGCCGCGGGCGCCU